rnacentral:rRNA from 1 species
UGGGGAAUAUUGGACAAUGGGCGAAAGCCUGAUCCAGCCAUGCCGCGUGUGUGAAGAAGGUCUUCGGAUUGUAAAGCACUUUAAGCUGGGAGGAAGGGCAGUAAGCGAAUACCUUGCUGUUUUGACGUUACCGACAGAAUAAGCACCGGCUAACUCUGUGCCAGCAGCCGCGGUAAUACAGAGGGUGCAAGCGUUAAUCGGAAUUACUGGGCGUAAAGCGCGCGUAGGUGGUUCGUUAAGUUGAAUGUGAAAGCCCCGGGCUCAACCUGGGAACUGCAUCCAAAACUGGAGGGCUAGAGUAGGGCAGAGGGUGGUAGAAUUUCCUGUGUAGCAGUGAAAUGCGUAGAUAUAGGAAGGAACACCAGUGGCGAAGGCGACCACCUGGGCUCAUACUGACACUGAGGUGCGAAAGCGUGGGGAGCAAACAGG